rnacentral:rRNA from 1 species
GAUUCAUAGUCAAAAGGGCAACAGCCCAGAUCGUCAGCUAAGGUCCCUAAAUGUACGUUAAGUGGUAAAGGAUGUGGGAUUGCACAGACAACCAGGAUGUUGGCUUAGAAGCAGCCACUCAUUUAAAGAGUGCGUAAUAGCUCACUGGUCGAGUGAUCCUGCGCCGAAAAUUUCCGGGGCUAAAACGUACUACCGAAGCUACGGCAUCAUUUAUGAUGGGUAGGGGAGCUUCGUAUGCAGGCUGAAGCAUGACCGUAAGGACAUGUGGACAGUAUACGAGUGAGAAUGUUGGCAUGAGUAGCGAGACGUGGGUGAGAAUCCCACGGGCCGUAAACCCAAGGUUUCCAGGGGAAGGUUCGUCCGCCCUGGGUUAGUCGGGACCUAAGCCGAGGCCGAAAGGCGUAGGUGAUGGACAACAGGUUGAUAUUCCUGUACCGCCAAUAAGCGUUUGAGAGAUGGAGUGACACAGUAGGAUAAGCUAACCGUACUGUUGGUUAUGUACGGCUAAGCAUUGAGGCAGUCUAAAUAGGCAAAUCCGUUUAGACAAUGCUAGGAUGUGAUGGGGAAGCCCUUCGGGGCGAAGUAGCUGAUUUCACACUGUCAAGAAAAGCUUCUAUCGAGUUUAAAGGCGCCCGUACCGUAAACCGACACAGGUGGGUGAGGAGAGUAUCCUAAGGCCAGCGAGAGAACUAUUGUUAAGGAACUCGGCAAAAUGACCCCGUAACUUAGGGAGAAGGGGUGCCUGUCUAUGACAGGCCGCAGAGAAUAGGCCCAAGCGACUGUUUACCAAAAACACAGGUUUCUGCUAAGUCGCAAGACGAUGUAUAGGAGCUGACGCCUGCCCGGUGCUGGAAGGUUAAGGGGAUCUGUUAGAGCAAUCGAAGCAGUGAACUUAAGCCCCAGUAAACGGCGGCCGUAACUAUAACGGUCCUAAGGUAGCGAAAUUCCUUGUCGGGUAAGUUCCGACCCGCACGAAAGGCGUAACGAUUUGGGCACUGUCUCAACAAUAGACUCGGUGAAAUUGUAAUCCCGGUGAAGAUGCCGGGUACCUGCGACAGGACGGAAAGACCCCAUGGAGCUUUACUGUAGCUUGACGUUGGGUCUUGGUACUACAUGUACAGGAUAGGUGGGAGACUAUGAAGCAUGGACGCCAGUCUGUGUGGAGUCAUCCUUGGGAUACCACCCUUGUAGUACUGGGAUCCUAACCAUAGGCCUUGAAUCAGGUCUUGGAACACCGUCAGGUGGGCAGUUUGACUGGGGCGGUCGCCUCCUAAAAAGUAACGGAGGCGCUCAAAGGUUUCCUCAGCACGGUCGGAAAUCGUGCGAAGAGUGUAAAGGCAAAAGGAAGCUUGAUUGCAAGACAUACAGGUCGAGCAAGGACGAAAGUCGGACUUAGUGAUCCGGUGGUACCGCAUGGAAGGGCCAUCGCUCAACGGAUAAAAGCUACCCUGGGGAUAACAGGCUUAUCUCCCCCAAGAGUCCACAUCGACGGGGAGGUUUGGCACCUCGAUGUCGGCUCAUCACAUCCUGGGGCUGUAUUCGGUCCCAAGGGUUCGGCUGUUCGCCGAUUAAAGUGGUACGCGAGCUGGGUUCAGAACGUCGUGAGACAGUUCGGUCCCUAUCCGUCGCAGGCGUAGGAAAUUUGAGAAGACCUGUCCUUAGUACGAGAGGACCGGGAUGGACGUACCUCUGGUGUACCAGUUGUUCUGCCAAGGGCAUGGCUGGGUAGCUAUGUACGGAAUGGAUAAGCGCUGAAAGCAUCUAAGCGCGAAGCCAACUUCAAGAUAAGAUUUCCCACCGUAAGGGUAAGACCCCAGGAAGACUACCUGGUUGAUAGGUCGAAGGUGUAAGUGCAGUAAUGUAUUUAGCUUAUCGAUACUAAUAGGUCGAGGACUUGACCAA